UCACGGUAGCUCAACUGGAUAGAGCAUCCGCCUUCUAAGCGGAGGGUUGUGAGUUCAAGUCUCACUCGUGACAUACCA
rnacentral:tRNA from 1 species